rnacentral:rRNA from 1 species
UACGAAGGGGGCUAGCGUUGUUCGGAAUCACUGGGCGUAAAGCGCACGUAGGCGGAUCGUUAAGUCGGGGGUGAAAUCCCAGGGCUCAACCCUGGAACUGCCUUCGAUACUGGCGAUCUUCGAGUCCGGGAGAGGUGAGUGGAAUUCCGAGUGUAGAGGUGAAAUUCGUAGAUAUUCGGAAGAACACCAGUGGCGAAGGCGGCUCACUGGACUGGUAUUGACGCUGAGGUGCGAAAGCGUGGGGAGCAAACAGG